GGGGUUGUGGCUCAAUGGUACAGCGCUCACCUAGCAUGUGCGAGUCCUGAGUUCAAUCCUCAGCACCA
rnacentral:tRNA from 1 species